CCCGCGCGUCCGCAAUUUGAAUUCACAAUUCCAACGGUUUUCCUCUAUUGGUUGUGGUUCAUGGGUCUGUGCGUUCAUCUUGCGUCUCUGUCUGAUUGUGUGCGUCUGUUAACUAACAAAUCUCAGCUCUGAGGUGCAGUCGGGGGACGUUGAGACCACCUGCUGUAAAACAGAGAUCAAGCCUGGAUCCUGUUCAUGUCAGUGAGAGAUCAGCAAUGACAGCGGUUAGACAGACAGCCAUGUACUCUGUUUAAAUGCACACCACAUGAGUACCAGAGAGAAUGACAUCAUAUCCUGUUCAUCGCACAAACACUGCUAACGUGCUGGAAUUGAAGUCAGAAGAAAAUGAAAGUUGUAUCAUUCCAG